rnacentral:rRNA from 1 species
UACGGAGGAUCCAAGCGUUAUCCGGAUUCAUUGGGUUUAAAGGGUGCGUAGGCGGAAUGAUAAGUCAGUGGUGAAAGCCUGUUGCUUAACAACAGAACUGCCAUUGAUACUGUUAAUCUUGAGUACAUUUGAUGUGGGCGGAAUGUGUCAUGUAGCGGUGAAAUGCUUAGAUAUGACACAGAACACCGAUUGCGAAGGCAGCUCACAAAACUGUAACUGACGCUGAGGCACGAAGGCGUGGGUAGCAAACAGG